rnacentral:lncRNA from 1 species
GCCCCUUUCUCCCCGCACCCUCCGACUGGCACCCCCACCUCGCGGGGCGGAUGGGACGCUUUGGCGCGCGUCACUCCGCGCUGGCGUGGACGAGCCAGUGCGCGGUGCCAGGCAGGCGCCGGCCGGACGUCGGGGGCUCCUUCUCCCCGCGAGCUGAGGGCCCUGGGCUCGGCUGGGAUCCAGCCCGCGCCAGACCGAGACUCGAAGGAGGCGAGCCCAGGGUUUGAAGAAGUUAAACUAGAGAUUGGUAUGGGACCUUGUCUGUAGCAAUUGAGCGGGAAGAACGCUACUUUCAGAAACACAGAUCUAGGACCAAAUAAUGCUAUAGUAGUGGAUUAGCUCUCCAUCUUUGCAAAUGCUUACUGAGUCCUUAGUCUCCAGCUCAUGCAACAGAGUUAUCAACUAUCAAUAUCAUCAUGACUGUUUUAAUUAUUUAAUGGAACCCACUGAAGUUGAUGAUGAGCUACCAAGAAAUUUCAGGAACACAGACAUGUCAGUCAGUGUGCCAUUUCUCCUGAAUCUUUUGUACCUAUACGUAUCUAAGAACCCAUUGUAAAAUGCAAAGCACAAAAAUAAAUACAAAUAAAGUUAGGGGA